UUAACUCAAUUUGGUAUGGAGUUGGAACGUUUGCCUACGUUUGCCACUAGGGUCGCUGUUCCAACUGUAUUUUUUUUC
rnacentral:pre_miRNA from 1 species